AUAGAUUCCACGUACGCAGCUCUACCCUGAGUGAGAUCAGACGACACAUGCUGUUCUGUCACCUGUUUUUUUUCCCCCACUCAGCAAUAUGUCAUGGACAUCCUUCAUAUCAGUACAUGGAGAUCCACCUCUCAGUUUGAACGCCUGCGAUGUGCGUGGAGGUCCUUCACUUUACGGACCCAGUCCCCAGCUGAUGCGUGUUUCUCCAGUCGUUUUGCUUUUGUAAAUAUCCCUGCAGUGAACUUCUGUGUGCACCUAUCGUUGUGAAUUUCAUUCACUCAUUCACUCAUUCCUUCAUUCGUUCAUUCACGCACCAGAUGUUAUCCCGUGCAUUCUACGUGCCAACCCAGGGCCAGGCUAGGGAUCAAAAGGGUGAGUAAAACAACACGGUCGGUCCUUGCUUUUACAGAGUGUAUGAUGUAGUGAGGAGACAGGACAUCCAGCCCCUGCCAGCAGGGAAGACAGCGGCUUUGUGCAAUGAGCUUAUGUCUUAAGCACUUACACAAAUAAUGAUCCAGUAAGCACGUGAUACGGAGUACAAAGGAAAAGUGCUGAAAGCAUGAAUGAAAAGUUCAAGCUGUGAGGGAGUAAGACAAGAGAAGGUAACCUGGACCCGGGAGUCGGGGAGGGCAGUCGGGGAGGGCUUCUCUGAGGUGGUGACGAUGAGGUCAAAAGAUGAAUGGGCAAGGACUGGGUCAGGGGAUGGAGGUGGGAAGGACAGGUGGGUGUGGAGGGGAACAGCGCAAGGGUUUCACUUAGAGGGAGCAGUGGUUUCAACUAUUAACCUGCAGAGGACUCCUAAAAAUGGAAGUGCUGGGUCGGAGGGUAAGCAGAGCCUGUUUCAUGUACACUGCACCGUGCUGUCCGCGAAGGUCUUAGGAGAUUGGUAAGAGCGGGCAAGGAGGGUUAAGCACAGCACUCAUGCACGGGAAGCAAGCCGGUCGCUGCUGUUGCCAUUAUUAUUAUAAUUAUCUUUGCCAAUCUAAUGGGUGAAAAAUGAUAUCUCAUCUUUGUUUUUAACCAAUGUGUCUUUUUUUUUCUUUUUCUUUUUGACUCUGCAGGAAAUGAGCCCUUAGGGGGAAAUGAACUAUCUUUCUUUCUUGAGCCACCUUUGUCAGAACCUUCCUGUGCCCCUCAGAGAGGCAGGAAACGUCUCUCUGUGCCAUCCUCACAGCAGAGCCCCUGGGACUUGGAGAUGACUCCAAACCCCGCGUGGCUCUGGCUUUCCAAAGGCAGGCGCCGCUCGGAGAGGAGGGCGGUUUGGGACCUGUGUCGGAUGGGUGUGUAGCCCGUGGGGAGGGACAGGCAGAGAGGUGGGGGCCCUGCAGGCAGAAUCCACUUGCCAUUAGAAGUGCUUAGAGGUCCCAGGAGCUCCUGGCUGAUGUUUAUGCAGCCAUAUGAAUAUUAACAGAGUAGCCAUUAAUAUUGAUGACAAUAAUAAACAAGUGUGAGGAUUAUAUUUAAAGAGGGCUGCUGCUCCAGCUGUUGCCUCCGUUCAUUAAGAAGGUUCUGAGGUUCUCGGCCUUCCUCUUCCCAGACCUCGUGCAAGACUCAAUGGCAUCCUCAUGACUUCUGCCUGGGCAGGGACUGAGCCAAAAAGGCAUUUCCAACACUUUGGAUUGAAUGAGAAUCAAUGCAGGAAACCCGAGUUUCCGUCCCAGGCGCUCUGGGCCAUGUGAGCGGGUCGGGGGGCAAGAAAGGGCUGAAUCAGCUUGUGUACGGGGAGCCAGCUGUGAAGACACUGCUUCUGACCCUUGCAGGCAUGAGGCCCCUGCCGUCUACACCCCCAGAGGAGCGUGGGCAGGGGGCUUGCAAGGGGCCAAUCUCUUGCAAAGGUGGCUGGAGGAAUUACCCUGCUAAAGUGGUCAUGAAUUAUAGAAGGGGGGGAGGAAGGCCCAGAAUAUCAUAUGUGUAAAUAAACCAGAGUGGCGGGAGACAUAAAAGCCAGCCACCAAGCUCUUGGACCCACCGUGCCCCUUCUCUUGCCGCACUCGUGCCAAGUACCACAGCGAGUCGCUCACAACCUCCUUCUUCAAAGGAUUUGUUAAUAAGUCAAUGACGGAACAUCUAAAGGGGAAAAAUAUUUCUCUUUAUAGUUGGAGAUAAUUGUCCCAGGAAAAAAAAAAAACAACAAACCUUUAAUUACAACUCACAUGGAGAAAGCUUGAUUUGUGGGCAGAGCCCAAAUGCUGAGGAGCUAGAUGUAAAAUAUUUGUAAUAUUUAGGGAACCUAGAGUUUUACAUAAAAGUAAACAGCAUUGCCUGAAGGCACAAUUUCCAGCAACACAAUAAAAUGUGCAGUGAAUUUAUGGCGGCCAUCCAUUAGCUCUUACCAAGGCAACGUCGCCCCUAUCUGUCGUCCAUCAUUAUAAUAGAGGGUUAAUGCACCGAAUUUACAUAAAAAAGUCAUAUUGUCUGCAUGAAUUAUUUACACUCGAAGCUGUUUUUACAGCUUGGUUUCAAGCUGGAUUCUGGGAGAGAUUCUGCCAGUAAAUUACUCUGUGGAGACCUGGUUCUAUAACUGUGCGCGGAGCCAGCAAUGAAAAGAAAGGAAAAUGGGCAGGCCCUGGCGGGUCGUUGGUGCUGACGCCUCUCAGGUGGGGGCUGGAGGCGGUAGUGGAGGCUUCAGGAGGCCGGUGGGCCUUACAGCAGAUGGGGCUUGGUUUCUGGGCCCACAGCCUCACGGUUGCUGCCGGGCUGCCCAAGUGGUCAAAGCCCGUUGGGGCCCGCGGGAGCACAGGGAUCCUUCAGAGGUGGCCGAGGGCUCUUGGUGGCUGAAGUCAGAGGUCUUUAAGGGGUCGGAGUCCUGGAGAGGAAGAGGAUGUGCUGUGUGUUUCGAGUGCAGGGGCCUGGCUCAGCAGUGUAAGCAAGACCCACGGUUCCCAUUGUACAGAUGGGAAGACUGAAACCUCGGGAGACACCUUCUCAAGAAGCAGGAAGCCCAUCCAUUCCAGGUGGGCCCAGGGAAUGUGGGACAUACAGACACUUCAGACUUGGGGGCAGAGUCGGGUGGUGAUGGGGCGUCUGUGGGAGGACACACAGAGGCCCCAUGCCUCCCAACUCAGCGGUUAUGUUUCGACAACUUUUAGUGAGUUGAAGGCAGUUUCAGGGCGUGGUCUGGGGAUGAGGUGUUUUUUUGGCACCGAGUUCUUAAAUUCUCUUUGCUUUGGGGUCUGGGCACUGGAGAACUCCUUAUGCUUCCAGGUGGCGUGGAGUUAGGGAGGCUGGUCACACAAUGGAAACACACCUGGAUUUUUAAUUCCAUGCCUGCUGCGUGGUAUUGAGCAAGACUCUUAGUUUCUGGGGGCUCAGUUUCCUCAUCUGUACAGUGGGAUUCCCAGUCCCGGCUCUCUCAGCCUGUCCCCCAAAUGACAAGAGGCUUGAGGGGGAUGACAUGCCCUGAGAGGUGUGUGAUGUGUCACAGGCACGGCCACAGAUGACAGGGGUCAGCAGGAGGAAGCCUUGAAGUUAGAGCUGAUCCAGGGGCUUGAAGUGUGCAACAUAGGCAGAGGGAGGGAGAAGCCUGGAUGAUCAGACACAAAGAGAUAAAAGAAACCCAGAGACAGAGAGAUAGGGAGAGACAAAGAACAAUCACACAAAACAAAGAGAGAGGGAUAGAGAUGGAGAUGGGGAAGAGGUGCCGACCACACCCCGACUGGGAGAAAAGAGGCAAACCACUUCAGGUUCUGACUUCCCGGAGCCCUGAGGGUGUUUUCCUGGCCAGGGAGAGGUUGGCAGGGUGGGGGCUGCCCUGAAGCCUGUACUCCCUUUGCCUGGACCCUCUCUCCAUUCAGGCCAAAAAGUGCCUGGGCUUCUCUCUGGCCUGGUCUCUGCUUUUCUGCAGCACAGGGAAGCCAGAGCCGGAUGCCAGCCCCAUCCUCCCCCAUCUCCCAGCACCUGGGACAGGCAGGGGCUCCUCGCUGCUGCACUCCGUGUCUCCCGCUCCCGGAGCAGCCACGGCAGGUCCCAAGGGCCUGGAGACAACAAAUGACUCCCCGCUGACGGGUUGCUCGCCGCCUCCUGCCUGCCAGCCCGUUCUGCUGCACGCCGCACGCAGAUAAUCAUAGCGUGAACUCCACGAGGGCAGGACGUUUAGCUGCUCUGCGCACACGCAUCUCCCCGACAUAGGUGGCCUUGUGAGUGUCCAAUACAUACUCACGGAACGAACGCACGAAAGAACGGACAACUCUACUGUCGCCGUCAAGUGUUCUCCUACGUGUCCCCUCCUUUCCUUCCUGAAAAUGCUGUUAAUCGUGCAGUCCUGUACGUGGACCAGCGAGGGGCAGAUCAAGUGUGGAAAGCCAGGCGAGAGGGAAAGGACUCGUGGCCGACCUGGGGCCGAUGGAGUGACAUGUCCUGCGCUGUGAUAGGGACAACCUUUGGGCCAAUUCAGGGAUGUUGCAAAGAGGCAGGUUUUGGCUCUGCUCAAGGAAGAACUUCGCAACAAUUGCUGAUAUUUUAACCGUGAGGGAGGCAAUAAAGGAGUUCCCGUCCUGGAGGCCUGGAGCAGAAGGUGGACUUGCCGAGACGGCUGCAGCGGGGAGCUGGGCUCCAGGGGGUGUCAUCCUUGUUCUCUGGGGAUCCAUGAACCCUGAGAGGGGGGCUACCUAGAGGUGGGACUGCUCCCUUGGAGCCUGUCCCCCGGCUCGCAUGGCUACGUACCCGGCCCGAGAGGACUUGGGAGGCUGGAAAUGAGCAGUCUGUGCAGCCCUCUUACCUGCUAAAGGGCGGCUGACCACCUGCUGGAAGAUCUGUUGGCUUGGACUUUGAAGCAUGUGUGCCCCAGCUCAGUUGUUUGUCGAUGGUCCCUCUGGCAUCACUGGAACUUUCCUGGGAUGUGACUUGGGGCUCCUCCCCCCCUCUGUGGAUCUGGAUUCCAGUCUUCCCUGGCUGGACCUCCCUGCUCAGUUGCCUGGGUCGUUCCCAGGCAGCCUCCCCUGGAUGCGCAGGGACGGGGCCUGUCUUCCCUGUCUGCCCCAGGCUCCUGAGCCCUGGCCCACAGCCGUGCAGGAACAGGAGUGUGAUGGAUCAUUCCAGUGCCUCAGCUCGUAUGUUGCCAUCAUCAAAGGCCUCCCCUCCCCUUACAGUCUUCUCCCUUCACCAAUG